rnacentral:ncRNA from 1 species
GUCAAAGCAUUGAACAAGAGAGUAAUCAAUGAAGGCUGUUCAGAAAGAGCGUACGAGCUGCGAAGCGCUUCAGUUUUCCUUGAUGAAGGUAGCUUGUGAGCUGUUGCGCUGAACAGAUUAAGCGUAGCCGGACUGAGUUCGUUAACAGAAGAGUGGCGCUAAAAAGCGCAAUUUAGGUGGUACCGCGAAUACUCAAACAUUCGUCCUUUGU